rnacentral:rRNA from 1 species
CUUUAGGUGACUGCGGACGACAUUAUUGAAUAAACUUGAACAGGCUGUUGCUGGGCUCCUUCAAAGGGGGUGUUGUGCACGCUUGUCAUCUUUAUCUCUCCAACUGUGCACAUAUUGUAGACCUGGGAGUUGUUUGAUUUGUUUCGAGUUGGGACUGCUGUGCUUUUACAAGUCAGCUUUGCCUUGAAUUUUCGGGUCUAUGUCUUAUUCACAAACCUAUGAAUUUGUUUUGAAUGUUGAAUCAGGUCCUUUUGUACCUAUAAAGUUAAAUAUACAACUUUCAGCAACGGAUCUCUUGGCUCUCGCAUCGAUGAAGAACGCAGCGAAAUGCGAUAAGUAAUGUGAAUUGCAGAAUUCAGUGAAUCAUCGAAUCUUUGAACGCAUCUUGCGCUCCUUGGUAUUCCGAGGAGCAUGCCUGUUUGAGUGUCAUUCAAAUUCUCAACCACACCAGAUUGUUUUCUGAUGUGGCUUGGAUGUGGGGGUUGUAUUUUUGCAGGCUUUGAGAAAUCAAAGUCUGCUCCCCUGAAAUGCAUUAGUGGUAUCUGAGCAGCUACUACAGGUGUGAUUAAUUUAUCUAUGCCUUGGUAAAUUCCUGCAUGAACGGAUUGCACUGCUUCUAACGACAACAUUUUAUGACGAAUUUGACCUCAAAUCAGGUAGGACUACCCGCUGAACUUAAGCAUAUCAAAAAACGGGGGGAGAA